UACAUGCCCUACUUUCCCAUUCCCUGCAAACACAUGCAUGAUAGUGAAGGCAAUAAAAACUAGAUCAUCAAAAUCAAAAACUUUUUAUAAUAAUAGAUAUGAACUAACAAUUAAGUUUAUUAGGAAAAAAUAAACCCGCUCCUCCCUGGCAAACCCCAAGGUGGUAAUUCAUACUUCAGCCAUCCUUUAUUUUGAAAAAAAAAUAAAAUAAUUCUUUUAUUUUACAAAAUGACGUGCUCUGGACCACUAUGCAGUUUUGGAUCAGUUUUAUGCAAUGGACCAAAAUGUCAAGUUUUAUAAAAACUCAAGGACUAUAUUGCAGAUUUUUUUUAAAAAAAGAGGAAGAUCAAACUGUAAAUACGACACACCUUGGGGGACCCUUUGUAUUUUUCUCAAUAAAUAAUCAUGAUAAUUGCUUCAACACGUGCUGUCAAAAUAUUUCCAAACAAGUUAAACAUCACUAAGAAAUAAUACCAAGGUCAACAUUUUCAAAUGGG
rnacentral:misc_RNA from 1 species